CCUACGGGAGGCAGCAGUGGGGAAUUUUUCGCAAUGGGGGCAACCCUGACGAAGCAAUGCCGCGUGGAUGAAGAAGGCCUUCGGGUUGUAAAGUCCUUUCGUGGGGGACGAAAAGGCGGAUCCGAAUACGGUCCGCUAUUGACGUGAACCCAAGAAGAAGCACCGGCUAACUCCGUGCCAGCAGCCACGGUAAUACGGAGGGUGCGAGCGUUAAUCGGAAUUACUGGGCGUAAAGGGCGCGUAGGCGGUGGGUUACGUCUGCCGUGAAAUCCCCGGGCUCAACCUGGGAAUGGCGGUGGAAACGGGCUGACUGGAGUAUGGGAGAGGGUGAUGGAAUUCCAGGUGUAGCGGUGAAAUGCGUAGAGAUCUGGAGGAACACCAGUGGCGAAGGCGGUCACCUGGCCCAAUACUGACGCUGAGGCGCGAAAGCGUGGGGAGCAAACAGGAUUAGAUACCCUGGUAGUCCACGCCCUAAACGAUGGAUACUGGAUGUUUGGCGCCUUAGGUGCUGAGUGUCGUAGCUAACGCGAUAAGUAUCCCGCCUGGGAAGUACGGCCGCAAGGUUAAAACUCAAAGGAAUUGACGGGG
rnacentral:rRNA from 1 species